rnacentral:rRNA from 1 species
ACGAAGGGUGCGAGCGUUAAUCGGAAUUACUGGGCGUAAAGCGCGCGUAGGUGGUUUGGUAAGCGAUAUGUGAAAUCCCCGGGCUCAACCUGGGAACUGCGCUUGAAACUAGGUCGCUAGAGUGUGGCAGAGGGGGAUGGAAUUCCGCGUGUAGCAGUGAAAUGCGUAGAUAUGCGGAGGAACACCGAUGGCGAAGGCAAUCCCCUGGGCCUGUACUGACGCUCAUGCACGAAAGCGUGGGGAGCAAACAGGA